rnacentral:tRNA from 1 species
GCCUGGCUGGCUUAGUCGGUAGAGCAUCUGACUCUUGAUCUCAGGGUUGUGAGUUCAAGUCGCAUAUUGGGCA